rnacentral:rRNA from 1 species
GAUGAACGCUGGCGGCGUGCUUAAUACAUGUAAGUCGGACGGUGCGUUAGCGAUAAUGCAUAGUGGCGAACGGGUGCGUAACGCGUUGGUGACCUGCCCCGAAGUGUGGGAUAACAGUUCGAAAGGACUGCUAAUACCGCAUGUGGUCUUCCGGAUUAGAAGCCGGAUUUCUAAAGCAGUAAUGCGCUUUGGGAGGGACCUGCGUCCCAUCAGCUAGUUGGUGAGGUAAUGGCCCACCAAGGCUACGACGGGUAGGGGACCUGAGAGGGUGGUCCCCCACACUGGCACUGAAACACGGGCCAGACACCUACGGGAGGCAG